AGGCGCGUAGCUCAGUGGGAGAGCGCUACCUUGACGCGGUAGAGGCCACGGGUUCAAUACCCGUCGCGCCUACCA
rnacentral:tRNA from 1 species